AGGGACACUGAGUCUGGAGGGACACUGAGUCUGGAGGGACACUGAGUCUGUGUUUUUUCUCUUUUAGAAAAUGAAGUGGUCAACCUAUUGGUUCAGGCUCCAAAACACAACAUUAUUCUUCUACACUAAGAAACAUGGGAGUGCUUCACACCUAAGAGGCCUGUACUACAUCUACACUGUGCAGUCUGUGCGUGAGAUCCAGAGGGAGAAGCGUAAGCACUACGUGUUUGAAAUCACCAUGAAGAAUGGGAAGAGGAAAGUACUGUCUGCAGAGACAGGGGAUCUGAGGAGGGAGUGGAUUGGCCAGCUGUGGAGGGCCAUGCAUCUCUCAGGCCCAGGGGGUACAGACCCAGGCUGCAUACGGUAACAGAAAGCUCAGGAUUAUUGAGACACUACUGCACUGUUUGUCAUUACAUUACACUAGUAAUUUAUCAGGAGCUCAUA
rnacentral:lncRNA from 13 species